CUGGAGGAAGCGGAGAAGGCUGCUGAUGAGAGUGAGAGAGGUAUGAAGGUGAUUGAAAACCGGGCUCUAAAAGAUGAAGAAAAGAUGGAGCUCCAGGAAAUCCAGCUGAAGGAAGCAAAGCACAUUGCAGAAGAGGCAGACAGGAAGUAUGAAGAGGUGGCUCGUAAGUUGGUGAUUAUUGAAGGAGACUUGGAACGCACGGAGGAACGCGCCGAGCUGGCAGAGUCUAAGUGUUCUGAGCUGGAGGAGGAGCUGAAGAAUGUCACCAACAACCUCAAAUCUCUUGAGGCUCAGGCGGAGAAGUACUCUCAAAAAGAAGACAAGUAUGAAGAAGAAAUAAAGAUUCUUACUGAUAAACUCAAGGAGGCGGAGACCCGGGCUGAGUUUGCUGAAAGAUCGGUAGCCAAACUGGAAAAGACCAUUGAUGACUUGGAAGAUGAGCUCUAUGCCCAGAAACUGAAGUACAAGGCCAUUAGCGACGAGCUGGACCACGCCCUCAAUGACAUGACCUCUAUAUAAGCUGAAGUGCACCAAAGAGGAGCAUCUCUGUACACAAAGGAUGCUGGACCAGACCCUGCUGGACCUGAACGAGAUGUAGACCUUCCCCAUCCCUGCCCUGCCCUGCGGCCGC
rnacentral:lncRNA from 1 species